GAAAAAGAGAAUAUAUAUGCCCAGAAUUAGGGUUCUCCAAAGGGGGGAAACGAAUUCAAAAUAUGAAAAGAGAAAAACUCACUAUUAAGGGAAUCACUCUUUUCUUUUAAGAAUUUGACUCAUUCCAGAAGAGCAAAGGGGGUGGGCGGCUAGGAUCGAUUGCUUAUCCUUGGGGUGCUAGGUGGUGUGAUCUCCCGUUGCCAAGGGCGGAGCCGCGUGACUUGCUCGAUAGAAAAAUGCAGGUGCCCUUCUGUACGCACAAAAGGCGACGCUGGUCGUGAGUCAUGCGCCAAAGGAUGUGAACGUCUUCAUCGCGCACUUAAUCGUUUGAAAUCAUUGGAAUCACGGAUGGAGUUUCCGCGUUGAUGCCCACGCACUUGUCG
rnacentral:misc_RNA from 1 species